AGAGUUUGAUUAUGGCUCAGGAUGAACGCUGGCGGCGUGCUUAACACAUGCAAGUCGAACGGAGUUUUAACGGAAGUUUCGGAUGGAAGUUUAGAAACUUAGUGGCGGACGGGUGAGUAACGCGUGGGUAACCUGCCUCAUACAGGGGGAUAACAGUUAGAAAUGACUGCUAACACCGCAUAAUAUAGCGAAACCGCAUGAUUUUUGCUAUCAAAUAUUUAUAGGUAUGAGAUGGGCCCGCGUCUGAUUAGCUAGUUGGUGGGGUAAAAGCCUACCAAGGCGACGAUCAGUAGCCGGCUUGAGAGAGUGACCGGCCACAUUGGGACUGAGACACGGCCCAAACUCCUACGGGAGGCAGCAGUGGGGAAUAUUGGACAAUGGGGGAAACCCUGAUCCAGCGACGCCCGCGUGAGUGAAGAAGUAUUUCGGUAUGUAAAGCUCUAUCAGCAGGGAAGAUAAUGACAGUACCUGACUAAGAAGCCCCGGCUAACUACGUGCCAGCAGCAGC
rnacentral:rRNA from 1 species